GGGGAUUUAGCUCAGUGGUAGAGCACUUGCCUAGCAAGCACAAGGUCCUGGGUUCAGUCCCCA
rnacentral:tRNA from 1 species